rnacentral:rRNA from 1 species
AGUGGCCCAACCCGGAAGGGGGGGAGCUGUCGAAGGUGGGAUCGGCGAUUGGGACGAAGUCGUAACAAGGUAGCCGUACCGGAAGGUGCGGCUGGAUCACCUCCUUU